CGAGAGGGAAACAACCCAGACCGCCAGCUAAGGUCCCUAAAAUUGGCUAAGUGGGAAACGAAGUGGGAAGGCUAAAACAGUCAGGAUGUUGGCUUAGAAGCAGCCAUCAUUUAAAGAAAGCGUAAUAGCUCACUGAUCGAGUCGUCCUGCGCGGAAGAUGUAACGGGGCUAAGCCAGUUACCGAAGCUGCGGAUGCAUCGCAAGAUGCGUGGUAGGAGAGCGUUCUGUAAGCCUGUGAAGGUGGGUUGUGAAGCCUGCUGGAGGUAUCAGAAGUGCGAAUGCUGACAUGAGUAACGACAAUGCGGGUGAAAAACCCGCACGCCGGAAGACCAAGGGUUCCUGCGCAACGCUAAUCGGCGCAGGGUGAGUCGGCCCCUAAGGCGAGGCCGAAAGGCGUAGUCGAUGGGAAAUCGGUUAAUAUUCCGAUACUUGUUUAUGAUGCGAUGGAGGGACGGAGAAGGUUAGGCAGGCCCGGCGUUGGUUGUCCGGGU
rnacentral:rRNA from 1 species